UUAGUCUGUUAUCACUUGGCCUACUGUGCAGCAUAUUUUUGUAUCUCUGUUUACACUUUGUUGUUGCUGCCGUUCCGUUAAUUACUGUCAGCAAAACGUUCAAUGACCACUUGACGUGCGCACACACACACUCGCACGCACACACAUAUGUACAUAGAGCUAGACAGUACAUCGCUGCUUUGGUCUCAUCGCUACUUGACGUCACAUAUGCAAGCAAUCGCAAACUACUCACAGGCGUGGCGAAAAUAGUAAUACAUGUGCCAAAACAGCGGUAAAAUAUGAAAGGCAGGCAAAAGCGAAAUCUUUUUAUUAUUGGCGAGAUUGGACAGCGGCCAAACGGCACGGAAAUGACCAACAACAUAAGAAAUACAGACGACGGCGUGUGAAAUCAUGCGCUUUCCCGGCUAAGAGAACACAAAGAAUUUUAGCAAAAACUAUGAACUCGGAAAAAAUACAUACAUGUGUCGUGAUGUAAUGGGUCAAAAGGAUGGAAACCAGCGAAUUUAAAGGUAUAAAUGAUAUGCUUGGUUUGAUUUCACUUUGGGUACUAGUAUUUCAUCAGCACGACCUUGACACAGUAGAUAACAUAAACAAUUUAUUCGCCUAAGUGGAUUGCUUCUGCGUGCCAUGACUGAGUUUUCAUCUCAGACUGUGGGCGUGUGCUGUUACGCAACACUCUCCAGCAAAAACAAGUUCAGAUCCAAGCAUAAACCCACUGCACCAGCUAAAAGGUGUUACAAAAUAGGCGAUUUAUCGAUUUUCCAUGAUGUCACACUCACCCCUAACUCAAAUUAAAUAAAAUGCAUAGUUGCUCCCCUCUUGCUGCUCACAUGACCAGCGGCCAAAAAGCAAACAAAACAAUAAUAAAGCAAAUAGCAAAAGUUUAACAAGCCAAAAUUGAUAAAACUGCUGAGAUAGAUGCAUGUGAUAAAGCAAGAAAGAAACCAAAAGCAUAAACACAAUGGAAACCCUUUGGGUGUAUGUGUGUGUGUAUAUGUGUGAGGGCUUCGUGUCUGCUUGCAAAAUUUUCAUUUCGAGGUUAUGAAAUCACUUGUAACGAAAAACCAUUUACACAUACGGAUUUUCAUGCACAUUUGAUCUGUAUGAAACCGGGACAGAUUUUUUUUAGUGUCUUGGGAACAAGACGACCACGACCACACAACGUACACCACAAAAUUGAUUUGCAACCGAAUGUCAGUGUGACCAGCAUUAAAAAUG